AUUUCUAGUUAUUAAAACAGUUGAAGCAUGAGAUUUAUUUAGUAAACUAUGCGUAUUAUAACAGAAACGUUGAAAAAACCCAGUCAAUUAAUUACAUCAUGCACCCCAAAGACCAAAAAUACCUCCACUAAGGAAAAGUUUAUCACAAAUUUGGUUAAAAAAAUUAAAGUUUUGUUUUUCACAAAGUAAGGAAUUGAGUGAACCAAGGUUUCGAAUUAUUCCAAGGCUUCAAUUACCGUUGUUUUUUGUAAUGAACUUAACAACUGUGUUUAUGCAGAUAAAACACAAACACGACAAGCGGAUCAAUACGAAUAAUGUAUUUAUAAAACUUUGGACAUUCCAUCAUAAAGUAAAACAGCGUGCUAUGACUUUUAAAUAAUCGAGCCUUAAUCACAAGGCUCACUUAUUAGCAAAUAAAAUGGAAGCUUUCUUAAUUUAAGUUAAUGAUCAACAAUUAUUAAAACCAAUGAACUUCCAGAUUAUUGACAUUUCAGAGCAUUUAAAUGGGCAAUGGCAGGAUACGUAUAGGCAAGUUAAAAAUGUAGAACUCAUUGCUAUAAAUCAAUGUAUACCUAUUUUAAAUCCAUUUAAAUAAAAAAAAUAGUUUAUUUAUGAAACAUGCGAUUAAUAUUUCUUUUGUAUUUUUUAUAAAUCCAUCAAAACAAACCACAUCAUUAUGAUUAUUGAAAAUAAUAAUGCACGACGACAACCUAUAUGAUAAGAUUGAAUAUGUGCACGCUAAAGUAAAAGAAUCAGAGGCAGAGGUAAAGAGAUAAGCUUAAAAGCGAUAGAAGAAUUCUAGUAAAUCCGAGGAACCGACUUACACAAACAAAUUAAAAAAUAAAAAUAAAAAAAGAUUAUCUACAGAAUGAACAUCAAAAAAUGCGUUUUAGUAACAACCAUUUUUAUUUCAUGUUUAUCAGCAAAACCAUUAAUUGAUGUGGAAAACAUUGAUUUGUCCAAAGUAGCUGCUGAUUUCACAGCCGCAAUUACGCUCACAGAAAAGUAUGUAAGCGAAGGCAAAAGAAAACCAAUAAACUCAAAGACGGAGUUCGAAAUCGGCUUCGGAUGUAAUUUUGAUUGUGCCAAUAAAGAAAUACUUAGAGAAUUGCUGUCUGACUCAGACGAAAAAAAAGAAAGUAAUAUUUUUGGAGAAAUUGAUUUUUACAAACAA